rnacentral:rRNA from 1 species
AGAGUUUGAUCAUGGCUCAGAACGAACGCUGGCGGCGUGGAUAAGACAUGCAAGUCGAACGAGAUUUUUUCCUGUAGCAAUACAGGGAAAAGUCUAGUGGCGAACGGGUGCGUAACACGUGGGCAAUCUGCCUUAAAGUGGGGGAUAGCUCGGCGAAAGCCGAAUUAAUACCGCAUGUGAUCAGGGGAGACAUCUUCCCGAAAUCAAAAGUGGCGCAAGCUACUGCUUUUUGAGGAGCCCGCGGCCUAUCAGCUAGUUGGCGAGGUAACGGCUCACCAAGGCUUUGACGGGUAGCUGGUCUGAGAGGACGACCAGUCACACUGGAACUGAGACACGGUCCAGACACCUACGGGUGGCAGCAGUCGAGAAUUUUUCUCAAUGGGGGAAACCCUGAAGGAGCGACGCCGCGUGGAGGAUGAAGGUCUUCGGGUUGUAAACUCCUGUCAUUUGGGAACAAGUGUCGGUACCUAACUGCUACCGGCUUGAUAGUACCAGAAGAGGAAGGGACGGCUAACUCUGUGCCAGCAGCCGCGGUAAUACAGAGGUCUCAAGCGUUGUUCGGAUUCAUUGGGCGUAAAGGGUGUGUAGGUGGCGCCGUAAGUCGGGUGUGAAAUUUCGGAGCUUAACUCCGAAACUGCAUUCGAUACUGCGGUGCUUGAGGACUGGAGAGGAGACUGGAAUUCAUGGUGUAGCAGUGAAAUGCGUAGAGAUCAUGAGGAAGACCAGUGGCGAAGGCGGGUCUCUGGACAGUUCCUGACACUGAGACACGAAGGCCAGGGGAGCAAACGGGAUUAGAUACCCUAGUAGUCC